UUGUGUCAUAUAAAAGCUAUUAUUAUAUCUGGUUUCUUUCUUCUGAAUCCAAUGGUAUUAUCAGGAGAAGAUUCUGAGCAAAAUGCUUCAAUUGCAACUGAUCGAUCCAAUGGGGAUCGGGACCUAUAUAUUUUGUACUGUUCUUGAGCUUCAGAUCAAUGAUCAGUGCUUUAAGGAUGCAGAAGAAAUGGAGCAUGACAAUGACAGUUUAUGGCCUUGAUCUUCUUUCUCCUAUCAAUAUUUCAUCAUCAAACCUUUCGCCCCAUUUAUGGGAUACUGCGCGGAGUCAUCUCAUUUAUGAAAGAAAAUGCCUGGUUCCCCUGGCAAAUUAAGGAAAAUAUAUAAAUUAACCUAUAUCGGACAUUUUUCAUUUUCCAAUUUUUGUUUUUAUAAAACUUCACUUCCAUGUCUCUUCUUUGCCUGUGUAAGGCAAUAAGAGUGGAUGACCUGUUAGCCUACUGCGUGUGUUUAUGAAAUGCACAUAAUCUGCCGGUGUCGGUAAUCUCUCUAAAACUAAAUCUAAUACAUCCUUAGGCAGCUUUGCCCAAUCCAGGGAGUCCAUAAUUUGAAAACCUUGAAAAAAAAUUUGAUCGAAUAAUCUCAAGUUGUUAAAUCCGAGAUUAGCUUUUUCUUCUUGGCCUUUAGAGUUCUUGAUUUAUGUGAAGCAAAUUCCUCCCUCUCUAUAUUUAUAUAAACGUCCUUUACUAGUAGUUCAAAACUUGUCUCCCAAUAAGAACGAGCUAGGAAACCCGUUCCCCAUUCCCAGUAGGAAUGGGUACUGCCAGUCCAUUUGAUCUUCCAAAAGGAGAUUUCUCCUUUUUUAAUUGGGUAAGACAUCUCUUCUAUGUGAUACGUGGCUUUCGUGUAGAUUAAAG